GGUGCCCACAGAGACGCCCAAGUCGGGGAGAAGGGAGGCGGCCGUUCUCCUCGACCCUGCCAGUCACGAGUACCCUGCAGACCGCGAGCUUUAGAGCGCUCCUCUCGGCGACACGUGACCCAGACCAAAGGAAAAAAAAUCUGGAAAGCAGAAUUAGUGAAUCAGAGGGUCUUUGGAAGGUUAUCCAGGUUCAAAGAAGAGAAGUCUGCUGACCAGACUAUAGAGUUUUGCCAAUCUGAUGGAAAAAUAAUUGGUAUCUGUGGAAGUCAUUUGGUUUCCCCAAACAUUUCCAGUCAUCCCUCCUUCCAAGCAAAUGGUGGGAGGAGCUGCACUUCCUGGUCCCUCGUGGUUGUGUGAGUUCCGGUGCCGUGUACUGAGCAAUGAGUUGUGAAGAGAUGUGUGCCAUUUCCAGGCUGGAGUAAUUAAUCGCUGAUGCAAACACCUCCAUGGCUCUCUGGAAAAGAGACCUACAAUAUUCAGGAAGUGACCAGUGUGUAACUCUGGGAACAUAAGUGAGUAUGAUGAACAGAGCCUCCCACUUGACCUACAGUGGACAUUUAGUGUGAGUGAGAAGUAAAAUUUUGUUGGUAUAAGAUUCUUGGAUGUUGGUGUAACAAUAUAACAUAACCUAUCGUGGUGUAUAAAGUAUCUCAUUUUUGUUGUAAUUUGCAUUUUCCUGCUUACUUAGUGAGGCUAAAUAUCUUUUGAUAUUUUGUUUGCCAUUUUUUAUUCUUUCAUAAAAUACUCAUUUACUGGCUUUUGUCCAUUUUUCAAUUGGUUUCUUUAUCUUUCGCUUAAUGAUUUAUGAGUUCUUGAAACAUUUUAGAUUCUCAUCUUCUGUCGGUUUUGCUUCAAAUUUACACAAUUGAUGGUUUUUCUUUUUAUCCUGUAGUUCUUAAAAAAACUUUAUUUUGGAAAAUUUCAAACAUAUACAAAAGUAGAGAGAAUAGUAUAAUAACCCCCCAUGAAGCCAUAACCCAGCUUCAACAAUUGUUGACUCAUAACCAAUCUGGUUUCAUUUGUAAGUCCUACCUAUUCCCCUCACUUUUGGAUUAUUUUGAAGAAAAUGCCAGACAUCAUGUAAUUUCAUCUGUGUAUCUCUACAGAUAAGGACUCUUUGCUAUUUAGAGGCUCUGCUGUUUGUGUGAACUCUGUUCCAGUGUUUCAACCUGCCCAGGCUAAAGUUUUCUCCCCCCUACUCCAGCCUGAGCUGUAGGUUUCUACAGAGCAUUUGUAUCUUGCCUAACCAGAUAGCUAAAGACAUUUUUGAAAAUCCUUUCUAUUGUAUUGUGUUAAAAGCACUGGAAAUAAUUUAGUUUAGUAUAUUCUCAUGUUGCCUAGAUACUUGCUAGUAGGUGUGUUUUAUACAUGCAUGUUUUUUACACUUGUUUUUUGUCAUUAUCCAUUUUAAUCUAUAAGCUUCCAAAAUGUAUGAACUGUUCCUGUUUGCCUUGUUUAAAAUAAUGCCCAACCCAAUGCGAUUCAGAAUUAAAUAUAUCAUAAAUUCUAUUUAAUGAAAAACAAAGUCCUGUUCCAGGGAAGGAAGAUCUAUUCCUCUACCCUCUAGGUCCUUCCGGAUGGUGUAAGAAUUAAAUUGACAUGAGGCAGAAUAACAGGAGAAUAUCAAAUAAAGUUUAAUAACAUGCACACAUGAGAGAAACCCAGGAAAACCGAGUAACUUGCCGGAAUGGCUGAAGCUGCCACCUUAAAUACCAUCUUCAGAUAAAGACAAAGAGGAUGUUGGGGAUAGUGGUUUGGGAUUUCAAAGGGAGGAAGGCAAUUUACAUGGAGAUGGAAAAGCAAAUGUUUGAUAAACAAAUGUGUGCUGGGCCAUCUAUAGACAAUGUGACCCAAGAGAGAGAACUUUGAUAAAAAUGGGCUUAGCAAGGAUCAUCCCAGUCUAUCAAUCCCAGAGUUAUCUGCGGUGGUGGCCUGUCCUGGGGACAGACCUUCUAUCUUAAAUUCUUUUAGGCAGUUAUGGAGAAGGUCAAAGUUUCUUUCAGAGUCUUUUGUCCUUAAAAAUCAUCAAGCCAAAGAGACACAUUUUUGGGGUGGCAAAUUCUGAUCACCCACACUGGUGUUUGUUAGGACAUGAUGAGGAAAAUGAACUCAGGUCAUGGCUUGAUUUUCACAGGUAAUCCUAAUGGCUGUGAGAAGAAAUCUAUCUCAUGUGGUAUAAAAUGUGGGAUUUUUCUUGUUCUACUCAUUUCAGUUUUCUUUCUUACCUAUGCUAGGUAGUCUAUGCAUUGAAUAUUCAGCAGUAUUGUUUUUUAAAGGCACAUAACUCAAAAUAAAUGGUUGUACUAUGGUUAAAGGCACUACACUGAUAUUACCCUUAUAGGAGAACCUGGAAAGAGCAUUCUUUCACUCCUUUAAAAUGUACCAUCUUAUCAAGUCACUUCUUCUAAAGUACUCAUGUACAGUUUACUUUGUCUUUCAGAGUUUAACAAUUCCAUUUAUAGGCCUCUCUAAAAUAGUGUUUUUAGUUGCUAUUUCAAGUAACACUCCAAUGGUGACUUCUGUCCUAUAUUGUUUUUAUAUGAAUGUCCAAAUACAAUGAUUUUCUGUUAAUUAAAAAUAAAUACAAGUCUUUCGUUGUCAUUUGAUUAUCUUUCACUUCAAAAGGAGGAAGAGAGGAUUAAGCAGCUCACACUGCAUUGAAGAGUAACUGAGAAGAUCCACACAUGGCCACUGGCUUUCUCUGCCUUUUCUUCUUCGGCUUCUGCCUGUUCGCCUGCUUUGGAGGGCUGCCAUUGUCUGCACCUCUACGUCUGUUCCUCAGGGCCUGCUUGACACAUUUGAUCCAGAAAAGCUCCUCCCUUCCCUCUGACGGCUGCCUGCACAGCUGGUGUGCCUGUAGCUCUCCCUGCCCUUAUUCCAGGGGUGUCUGGCAAGGAUAACAAUGGCGUGUCCCUUUGAUCCUUGUCUUUGACCUUCUUGACUGAUCCAGCGCUCCCAGACUUCCAGCUGAUGCUCUCAUUGUCUGGAGUUGUAGUGCAAGGAAUCUUACAGAGGAGAGGAGCUUCUCUGAGCUCUUGAACCUGGUUCUAAUGUGCUUUCCUGGCCACUUUAUGGUUAGCAGUUGAUUGCUGGUGAUGCUAAUGAAACUCUUCCUUUGUUUUAAUAUCUGACGUAUUUCUUUCCAAUCUUCAUUACCAAAGCAACUCUAGGGAACAGCA